rnacentral:rRNA from 1 species
CAGCAGCCGCGGUAAAACGGAGGGUGCGAGCGUUAAUCGGAAUUACUGGGCGUAAAGCGUACGCAGGCGGUUUGUUAAGUCAGAUGUGAAAUCCCCGAGCUUAACACGGGAACUGCAUUUGAAACUGGCAGGCUAGAGUCUCGUAGAGGGGGGUAGAAUUCCAGGUGUAGCGGUGAAAUGCGUAGAGAUCUGGAGGAAUACCGGUGGCGAAGGCGGCCCCCUGGACGAAGACUGACGCUCAGGUACGAAAGCGUGGGGAGCAAACAGGAUUAGAUACCCCUGUAGUCCCUGUCUCUUAUAC